UACGUAGGGGGCUAGCGUUGUCCGGAAUCAUUGGGCGUAAAGAGCGUGUAGGCGGCCCGGUAAGUCCGCUGUAAAAGUCAAAGGCUCAACCUUUGAAUGUCAGUGGAUACUGCCGGGCUAGAGUCCGGAAGAGGCGAGUGGAAUUCCUGGUGGAGCGGUGAAAUGCGCAGAGAUCAGGAGGAACACCCGUAGCGGAAGGCGGCACCUCGUGGGCCAUAACUGACGCUGAGAAGCGAAAGCAUGGGGAGCGAACAGG
rnacentral:rRNA from 1 species